AGUGAACGCUGGCGGUAGGCCUAACACAUGCAAGUCGAACGGCAGCACAGUAAGAGCUUGCUCUUACGGGUGGCGAGUGGCGGACGGGUGAGGAAUACAUCGGAAUCUACUUUUUCGUGGGGGAUAACGUAGGGAAACUUACGCUAAUACCGCAUACGACCUACGGGUGAAAGCAGGGGAUCUUCGGACCUUGCGCGAUUGAAUGAGCCGAUGUCGGAUUAGCUAGUUGGCGGGGUAAAGGCCCAACAAGGCGACGAUCCGUAGCUGGUCUGAGAGGAUGAUCCGCCACACCGGAACUUGGACCCCGUCCCCACUCCCUCGGGGGGCCACAGUGGGGAAUAUUGGCCAAUGGGGCGAAGCCUUGUCCGACCAUCCCGCCGUGGUGAAGAAGGCCUUCCGGUUCGUAAGCCCUUUUUUUGGGAAAGGAACACAGCUGUUUGAUACCCCGCUGUUCUGACGGUACCCUAAGAAUAAGCACCGGCUUACUUCGUG
rnacentral:rRNA from 1 species